GCUGCCGGAUAGCUCACUUGGUUAAAGCAUUGCAUUGCGAAGCAGAAGUGACUAUCACAGCCCGGGUUCGAUCCCCGGUCGUACCA